AUUAUUGGGCGUAAAGAGCUCGUAGGCGGUUUGUCGCGUCUGCCGUGAAAGUCCGGGGCUCAACUCCGGAUCUGCGGUGGGUACGGGCAGACUAGAGUGAUGUAGGGGAGACUGGAAUUCCUGGUGUAGCGGUGAAAUGCGCAGAUAUCAGGAGGAACACCGAUGGCGAAGGCAGGUCUCUGGGCAUUAACUGACGCUGAGGAGCGAAAGCAUGGGGAGCGAACAGGAUUAGAUACCCUGGUAGUCCAUGCCGUAAACGUUGGGCACUAGGUGUGGGGGACAUUCCACGUUUUCCGCGCCGUAGCUAACGCAUUAAGUGCCCCGCCUGGGGAGUACGGCCGCAAGGCUAAAACUCAAAGGAAUUGACGGGGGCCCGCACAAGCGGCGGAGCAUGCGGAUUAAUUCGAUGCAACGCGAAGAACCUUACCAAGGCUUGACAUGAACCGGAAAUACCUGGAAACAGGUGCCCCGCUUGCGGUCGGUUUACAGGUGGUGCAUGGUUGUCGUCAGCUCGUGUCGUGAGAUGUUGGGUUAAGUCCCGCAACGAGCGCAACCCUCGUUCUAUGUUGCCAGCGCGUUAUGGCGGGGACUCAUAGGAGACUGCCGGGGUCAACUCGGAGGAAGGUGGGGACGACGUCAAAUCAUCAUGCCCCUUAUGUCUUGGGCUUCACGCAUGCUACAAUGGCCGGUACAAAGGGUUGCGAUACUGUGAGGUGGAGCUAAUCCCAAAAAGCCGGUCUCAGUUCGGAUUGGGGUCUGCAACUCGACCCCAUGAAGUCGGAGUCGCUAGUAAUCGCAGAUCAGCAACGCUGCGGUGAAUACGUUCCCGGGCCUUGUACACACCGCCCGUCAAGUCACGAAAGUUGGUAACACCCGAAGCCGGUGGCCUAACCCC
rnacentral:rRNA from 1 species